rnacentral:rRNA from 1 species
GAUGAACGCUAGCGGGAGGCCUAACACAUGCAAGCCGAGCGGUAUUCGUUCUUCGGAACAGAGAGAGCGGCGCACGGGUGCGGAACACGUGUGCAACCUGCCUUUAUCUGGGGGAUAGCCUUUCGAAAGGAAGAUUAAUACCCCAUAAUAUAUUGAGUGGCAUCAUUUGAUAUUGAAAACUCCGGUGGAUAGAGAUGGGCACGCGCAAGAUUAGAUAGUUGGUGAGGUAACGGCUCACCAAGUCAAUGAUCUUUAGGGGGCCUGAGAGGGUGAUCCCCCACAGUGGUACUGGGCCCCGGACCAGACUCCUACGGCAGGCAGCAGUGAGGGAUACUGGACUGUGGGAUAGCGCCUGAUCCAGCCAUCCCGGGUGAAGGACGACGGCCCUAUGGGUUGUAAACUUCUUUUGGAUAAGGAUAAACGUACUCUCGUGAGAGUAGCUGAAGGUACUAUACGAAUAAGCACCGGCUAACUCCGUG